rnacentral:lncRNA from 1 species
CACCAUCCACAUAGACCAUUUUUUUUUAUCAUAAAAAGCUUGAGAACGACAAUGGAUUUACCCCAGAUACAAAGUUUAGUGUUAGAAGGGGGCAAAGAUGUUUUCAGCAAACCAGAAGCUACUAGAAGGAAGUGCCUUCUGGAGGUUGAACAAGCUUACGGUUAUGCGACGCAGUCAUUUCCUUCUUCAGCUGUACCAGUAUAUCUUCCAUUGUGUACUCCCUUUGCCAGUUCGCAAGAAGCCCGAACUUCUUGGGAUCCACCUAUACAUUACAAAUGCAUCUUCAGACAAAAGUUACCGAAAGGAACGAGUCAGAGAAUGGCAGGAUGAUGAUUUUAUUAUGAGUACCACUCCUGUUUCAUGGUUGACACAAGUCAUGUUGAUACGUGUCAACCGCGAGAAACAAACCUCACGGGUAGAAUCGACCAACAAGGUUAGUGUUAAAUACUGAAAUCGUAUAUGUAGUGUUUUCAUGUCGAAUGAUUAGUGUUUGGCAGAGAUUGCAAAUCAAGAAUGACGACACAGAACAUCAACAAGUACAAAAUAACAAUUUACAAGAGAUUUUGGACCUCUCUCUCUCUCUCAGUCCUCUCUAUAUGCAACUAAUAAUUAAAUUCAAAAGAUUGAACAGAUGGACUGGGGAAGACGCUGUUUUUGAUAAUUUGCACACAAGUAGAAACUUCAUGAUCAAUCGAACAACAUCACCACCAUCCACAUAGACCAUUUUUUUUUAUCAUAAAAAGCUUGAGAACGACAAUGGAUUUACCCCAGAUACAAAGUUUAGUGUUAGAAGGGGGCAAAGAUGUUUUCAGCAAACCAGAAGCUACUAGAAGGAAGUGCCUUCUGGAGGUUGAACAAGCUUACGGUUAUGCGACGCAGUCAUUUCCUUCUUCAGCUGUACCAGUAUAUCUUCCAUUGUGUACUCCCUUUGCCAGUUCGCAAGAAGCCCGAACUUCUUGGGAUCCACCUA